CAACCAGGAGGUUGGCUUAGAAGCAGCCAUCCUUUAAAGAAAGCGUAACAGCUCACUGGUCUAAAUAAGGGUUUCUGCGCCGAAAAUGUAACGGGGCUAAAGCCAUGCACCGAAGCUUCGGGUGUGCGCAAGCACGCGGUAGCGGAGCGUUCCGUAAGUCUGUGAAGGGAGACCCGUGAGGGCUCCUGGAGAUAUCGGAAGUGCGAAUGCAGACAUGAGUAACGACAGGAGUGUGAGAAACACUCCCGCCGAAAGUCCAAGGGUUCCUGCGUAAAGUUAAUCUGCGCAGGGUUAGCCGGCCCCUAAGGCGAGGGCGAAAGCCGUAGUCGAUGGGAACCACGUUAAUAUUCGUGGGCCAGUGGGAGAGUGACGGAUGGUAGAUGUUGUCAGACCUUAUCGGAUUGGUCUGGCUUCGAAGCCGUCCCUGGAAAUAGCCCCCACAUAGACCGUACCGAAACCGAC
rnacentral:rRNA from 1 species